rfam:Gossypium raimondii Chr13_contig_513, whole genome shotgun sequence.
AAUCCAUGCAUCAGACAAUUUUGAAUUAAGUUUUUAAAUCGUUCCCAAGCUUCAUAUAGUGUUUCAUCCUCUGACUGUCGAAAAAAUGUGAUGUCAUUUCAAAGCUU